CCUACGGGGAGCAGCAGUGGGGAAUAUUGGGCAAUGGGCGCAAGCCUGACCCAGCAACGCCGCGUGAAGGAAGAAGGCUUUCGGGUUGUAAACUUCUUUUGUCAGGGAAGAGUAGAAGACGGUACCUGACGAAUAAGCCACGGCUAACUACGUGCCAGCAGCCGCGGUAAUACGUAGGUGGCAAGCGUUGUCCGGAUUUACUGGGUGUAAAGGGCGUGUAGCCGGGUUGACAAGUCAGAUGUGAAAUCCUGCGGCUUAACCGCAGAACUGCAUUUGAAACUGUUGAUCUUGAGUACUGGAGAGGCAGACGGAAGUCCUAGUGUAGCGGUGAAAUGCGUAGAUAUUAGGAGGAACACCAGUGGCGAAGGCGGUCUGCUGGACAGCAACUGACGGUGAGGCGCGAAAGCGUGGGGAGCAAACAGGAUUAGAUACCCCAGUAGUC
rnacentral:rRNA from 1 species